UUGAACGCUGGCGGCAUGCCUUACACAUGCAAGUCGAACGGCAGCGCGGGGCAACCUGGCGGCGAGUGGCGAACGGGUGAGUAAUAUAUCGGAACGUACCCUGGAGUGGGGGAUAACGUAGCGAAAGUUACGCUAAUACCGCAUACGUCCUGAGGGAGAAAGCGGGGGAUCGCAAGACCUCGCGCGAUUGGAGCGGCCGAUAUCGGAUUAGCUAGUUGGUGAGGUAAAGGCUCACCAAGGCGACGAUCCGUAGCGGGUCUGAGAGGACGACCCGCCACACUGGAACUGAGACACGGUCCAGACUCCUACGGGAGGCAGCAGUGGGGAAUUUUGGACAAUGGGGGAAACCCUGAUCCAGCCAUUCCGCGUGAGUGAAGAAGGCCUUCGGGUUGUAAAGCUCUUUCAGCAGGAACGAAACGGUCGGCUUUAAUAAAGUCGGCUAAUGACGGUACCUGCAGAAGAAGCACCGGCUAACUACGU
rnacentral:rRNA from 1 species